rnacentral:tRNA from 1 species
GCGUGUGUAGUGUAACGGCAGCACGGUGGACUGUGAAUCCGCCGGUUCGGGUUCGAAUCCCGACGUUCGCCCCA